CCAAAAAGGUAGUUUAGAUCUACUAUUGCAUUUUUUCAGCAAGCAGUUUGAUCUUUAGUUACAGACUUACAGGACUCCCAAGUUGUAAUGUUUGUCUAAAACACGUGUACACAAGGGACAAAACUAAAGUUCAAACCAAAGCAUGUGUAGUCCUGUAUAUUCUCCGAGUUGUACCCUUGAUCCAUAACCAUCUGCGCCGCCAUCAAAAGUAGUGUAUGUACAAGUCAUCAAAAGACAUAUGUACAAGUAGGCCACAUAGUCAGUAAACUGUAAACAUUAAGAAAAGACAUGCAAUCAUUAUCAAAUGUGAAAGAAUAAAAUAUAAUUUUCUUUUUAGCUUCGUAUUAUGACUAAAGAGAGCUUUUAGAGCCAAUUUUAUCAUGUAGUAAGUUUUUUUAAUCACCUUGAACAUAUUUGCAAAAGUGUAGUAGUACAAAAACACCCAAUUUAGAGGCACUAAAAAGAAUUAUGAAGGAAAACAGAAUUCAGGAAAAGGAAAAAUAUACAAAAUUUCCAGGAAACCAGAGAGCAAUGGAGAUGGUCGAAGAAGUUGUUCAGUAACAUUGUAUCCUUCGGAUUGUUGUGGUAGAUGGAUGUAAAGACACUGACAAAGCAAUUCAGUAUUUGGAGCUUUAGAUAAUUUACUUUCUAUAUGAUACUAUUUAAUUCCUCUGAAUCUUAUUGUGCAAAGUGUGACAAACUUCAAAGUUUCACUUAUUAUAGUCCUCACCUGAAGAGCUAAUAUGUACAAAGAUCAAAAGAUUUAAGUCUCCACCUGUAGUAAAGAAACAACAUCUUACAAGUUAGAGAAAACAAGGGAACAAAGUUUGUAGAAAGAGGGAAUUGAAGGAAAGUUCAGUCCCCACCGAAGAUGGCCAUGUACAUGGUAAGCACGUUGAACAGUCAAAACGUAGAGUGAAUUGGAUGAAGCAAACAAAACAUUGUGAAUUUUUAUUCUUUAAUCAUCAAAGGUUCAAAUAUACGUAGGAGAACGAGGACACUACAGUUGUGAGGACAGAACUGCCAAGUGCAACACUUUUGUCUGCUCUAGUGCAGAGUAUGGUGAACGUUAUCUUCUUCCAAGGAGAUAUAUGGGAAACAUGGGAAGCAGAGGCACUUAAAUGGGCUAUGGAAUGCACAACUUUUAACAGUACGUGUAUUUGAAAAUCAACAACAUCACGUUCCAAAAAAGUAUUAAAAACUUAUUUGAUUAUCUAACGAUUUUGGAGUAAUAUAUCAGCUUAGAGUUUCUAGUGACAAAGAUAAAUCUAAUGACUCAAUAACGUCCAACACAGUACCUGUAUGGACUAUAGUUCUAUUUGUUGUAGUAGAUUCAAUGUCUCUUAUUAUAGAGAUUUUCAAAUUUUGUGGUUUAUAGAAAGAAGCGACAUAAUGAAACUUUAGUGCAACAACCUAUUGGAUAGUACUUCCUACAACCUCAAUUAAUUUAUAAUCUUUUGCAUCACUUCAAAGAAUAAUAGGUAUCUUUACAACAAAUCCAUAGUUGCAAAUACAACUUCUUUAUUUCACCAAAUGUCUUACUAUGAAGCAUGACGGAAAAAGGAAUAAAUAAUUAGCCAUGACAAAAUUUAGUGUGUUGAGUCUUUCUGAUAUGUAGUGUUUAGAGAAUGAGAAAAUUGAAAGUAAAAGAGAUGUGCUUACAUGGAAUCAGUUUGCAAUUUAAAGAGAUUGAGUUUAUAUAAGAACGAAACGGAAUCAAACAAUUUGUUCUGAUCAGUUAGUGUUGUUUCUUCUACUUAUAGCGAAACAAAGAAUUGCUGGAGAGUCUUCUAAAUUUCGAUAUAUAAAUGAGGAAUAAUCGACUUAAUUCUAGCGGUAGGAAUUUUAAUAGUUCAUCAGUUUUAGUUUUUAUUGUCUAUACACUCAACCUAUUUUUCAAUAUACGGCGUAUUCAAGAUGGUUUACUAACCUUCACUUUUUCUUUGCAGGAGUGACUGGCUAAAUAUUUUGCUUUAUGCUAGAAGAAG
rnacentral:lncRNA from 1 species